AAGAACAUUUUUUGCAUAAUGCGUCUCACAAAUCCAAAUACCAAUUUCGGCCAAAGAGGAAGUAUUUGCAAAGUGUAAGAACAUUACACAGUUGAUCCAGUUUGCAGCCAUCCGUAUGUAAAUACAACAUAUCAAUUUACAAAGUCCUUCUAUGAAGUGAUAACUUACAAGCAUAGAUGGACAAUAUAUCACACAGCAAGGUUAGGAACCAGUACAACCCAUUUUACUCAACAUAACUCAACAUAACAUAUAAGCUAUUGAGGCUAUUAUUCAUGUUCUUCCUGUCGGUCCUCCUGUGGUAACUGUCACGUCAAGGCUGAUUGUGAUGGUAGCACCAAGUAGCUCUCUACCUAAUCUUCCCUGGCAUAUUUACAAGAACCUUAUUAGAUAUUUGUAGAUAUGAAUAGAUCACAGAAAUAAGAGAAUAAAACAAAAAUAAAAAUGAACUAUAUGUUAUCCAAAAUUCUUAAAUCUUAUAGUGCAUACAAAUGAGAAUAACAUUGCAUGUACUAUAAAACGAGAGUAAACAUGAAGUUGCUUAAAAUUAAUCCAAAGAAAAGCCUGUCAAAUGAAAGUUAAAUGACAAAGAAACAAAACAUACAUCACAAAACUCAAGAACUAUUGUAGUAGCAGUUGAGGCCAUAUAAACAUGCCAACAAAUGGCAUCACUAACAAACAAUAGCCUCGCCGUGAUGUGUAAACUUGUUGACACGUGAACAUUUGAAGUUUACGCCAACCGGGUCAACGAGCAGCGGCAUAAAACUCAACGUUUAUGCUGCAAGUACAUCUCAAAGGGCUGACUAGUAAACAAUACUUGCUGCCCACUUGACAAACAUAGUACUAUUAUUUAUAACGGGAAACAAUAAUGAAAUGAAAUGAAUCAGUAUAUAUGUAUACAGGGUGACAACAGUAGGAACAAGGCUUGUGCAUGUGUGAGAGAUGAUUCAUCAUCACUGCAUGUAUAUUAAUAGUGCAAGCAUGUAUAUGCAUCAGCAGCAAAACAAGAUAUGCUAAAACAUGUAUUGUUUUAAUGUGAUACUACAUGUAUAAUAAACAAGGUUGUAGUGCAGCCACCUAGUGCUAUACAUAUUCAGUUUCCUAGCAGCAAGGAUGCCAGGAAGCACGUGGUACACAUAUUAGAUAUUAGAUAUUAGAUAUUAAAAAGUUGAUAUACCUUCUUAAGACUGUUAGAUAUUAGAUUUCAAAGCAGCAAGAACAGCCAAGUAUUUUUCCAUAGCCUGCACAAGAUAACGUGAUGUGAAUGCACCUGCAAGCACAAAAUUCAGACUGUGAGCUACCAUAAACCAUAUUAAAACAUAUAUGCUAUUUUUUUGAGAAGUCUGUUAGAUGUUAGGUUCACACUAUUGUUUACCAAAAUUGAGAUAGAUAAUAGUAGUAUCAAUCUUUUCUUAAUAAUCCCUAUUUCCUUUACUUACUUGGAUCCUAGUUUCUUUGUGCGUCUAUAAAAAAACAAAUCUCUUUGGCCAAUAAUAAACCUAAGUUAUUUUUCAAAAUGUAGUGAUUUUUAUAGUUGCCUUUUCAAGCAUGCUCCAUAUUUUCCCAUAACUAGAAUAUCCUUAAGCUAUUAAUUUCCAAAUUUAUGCAUGAUGCAAACAGUUCACCGGUAAACCUUUGAUAUAUCGUAUAUUUAAAUAUCACAAAACAAAGUCCUAGCUUAUUGCAAAGCAAUGCUGCAAAACUAAAACAUAUCAGAGAGAACACACUACACAUGGUAUAUCGAAUAGAAUAACUGAUGAGAGGCAAGUUCCAACUCCAUUGUCCAGAAUAUCUAGAAUGUGGGCUAUAUCAAGUUGAUAUUGAUCUGUCUGUCCAAAAUCCUCUGAAGGCAGAAGUACGACUACGAAAAUACAUGUUAGCUCUUAUAACACGUAAAAGACAGAGUUGGCGGGAUCAAUGAUUUUCUGAAUUGUGGCCAAACCUCAUACAGAACUUGAAACAAACAUAUGCUGCUUGACACCAGAGACAAUUAGAAUUCUGGUUCACAUCCUAGUUAUGCUUAAUGACAUCAACUAGAUUCUUGUUACUUAAAUUGACUAUGCUAACCCAUGUACUAUAGCCACAAUAGGAGUAAUCGUGGCUAUAAGAAAUCUUGAUCAACAGAUGCAUGUAUCAUUCAAAAAUAUUGGAAUAAAGUAUCAAGUGGUCAGAGCAUACCAUUAUUCCCUUGCUACUGAACACACAUUAUUUAAGGCAUUUGCUUAAAUUCAGAGUGCACUUAUGAAACAGGGGUGUUCAGAUUCACGACUUGCUGACCUGGCUCAACUUGGAUGCUUCCAUCAACUGCCUGUUGUCUCGGCAUAUUUGUUGGUUCACACCGGCAACCAACAAUCGACAUCACCAUCAUACAUUCACUUCUCUGAGAUACAUAUCAAAUCAAACACUAAAAAAUUAGUGAGUGAAACAGGAUACACUGUGUAUAUUAACCAAGAUAAUUACCACAGUUGAACAAGUGAAAUAUAUAUGUAUAAGUGAUAUGCAUAUUAAACCAGAGGAGAUAUGCAGAAGUACAAGUGCUUAACUAUAAAGAAUCUAUAAAGCCUCAAUUAGCCCCCACAAAACUUCUCAUUUCAAGUCAUUUGGAUUGCCUCUUUAUUAAGCUUGACACCAAAAUUAUUACUGCACAAGGUAAACAUAUAUGUUCCAUGGUUCCAAGAACAGUAACUUGUUCAAACAUAUACGGAUGAACACGCUUAGUCAGCCAAAGCACAUCCUACAAAGAAAAGAAGGGCUGGAGGAGAGGAAAAGGGGUUUGAGGUGUUCACCUGGGCAAGGGAGGGCCUCCAGUGGUCCAAAUGCAGCGGAGGAGGUUGCCAUAUGACGCACCACCAUGCCGGAGAUGCGGGGGAGGAGGUUGGGGUCGCUGUCGUGCAACUCGGCGCACGCGGGCGAGCGCCCCGAACAAGGAAGGCGACAUCCAGGAGGAGGAGAGGGCGCGAGGGGGCGCGGUGUGCGGCGGAGCAAAGCCGCCGGAGACGCGGCGACGAUGGACGCGACGACGCAGCCGAAACCCUAGCCACGGGCUAAUGGUCGCAGACGAGCUCCGGAGACGUGAGCCGCGG
rnacentral:lncRNA from 1 species